GUGUGGUCUUCAGGGUUUGUUACAUAUCAGAUCAUGUCAUUGGCAAACAGAAAUAAUUUUACUUUUCUUUUCCAUAUAUCUGAUAAGAGGUUAAUUUCAAAAAUAUAUAAGGAACUCCUAUAACUCACUAGCAAAAAAAAUAAUCCAAUUUUAAAGUGGCAAAAGACUUGAAUAUACAUCUAUCCAAAAAAGACGUACACAUGGCCAACAAGUACAUGAAAAGAUGCUCAACAUUAUUAAUCAUCAGGAAAUGCAAACAAAACCACUUACCACCUGUUAAAAGAUAUUGAGAUAUAACUUCACACCUCUUAGAAUGACUCUUAUCAAAAAGAUAAGAGAUAAACAGUGUGUUGAGGGUGUGGAGAAAAGAGAACGCUUCUGUACUGAUGGUGGGAAUGCAAAUUAUAUAGCCACUGUGGAAAACAGUGUGGAGGCUCUUCUUCAAAAAAUUCAAAAUAGAAUUACCAUAUUGUCCAGCAAUUCUGCUUCUGGAUAUAUGUCCAAAAGAAUUGGAGUCAAGAUCCUAGAGAGAUAUCUGGACUCCCUGUUCGUUGUAGCAUUAUUUACAAUAGCCAAGAUAUGGAAAUGACCCAAAUGUUCACCAACAGAUGAAUGAAUAAAGAAAAUGUUGUUUAUACAUAUAAUUGAAUAUUAUUCAGCCUUAAAGAGGAAAUCCUGCCACUUGUGACACUGUGAAUGGACCUUUAAAACUUUGUAAGUGAAAUAAAUGAGCCGCAGAGGGAAAAUACUGUAUGAUUUCUUAUAUAUGAAGUAUUUAAAAUAGUCAUAUGUAUAGAAGUAAAUGAAAGGAUGGUAGAUGAGGGAGGGAAAAUAUGGGGAGUUGCUCAAUGUGCAUAAAGUUAGUCAUACAAGAUGAACAAGUUCAGAAAUUUUCUGUAUAACAUAGUGCAUACAGUUAACAGGUACAGUGCACUUAAAAUUUUGUUAAGAGGAUAAAUCUCUCAGGUUAAGUUUUAUCACAAAACAACAGUAACAACAACAAAGGGACACAAAGAAACUUUUGGAUGUGGUGAUGAAUAUGUUUAUUACCUUGAUAAAUCACACCUUGAUUGUGUGAUGGUAACUUGAUUAUAUACAUUAUGUCCACAUGUACCAAAUGAUCUGCAUUAAUUAUGUGCAGGUUUUUGUGAGCCAGUUAUGCCUCAAAGCUGGAAAAAAAUAAAUUGUACUUAUCAUCCUGUAGAAACUGGCCUGUGGCAGUUUCUAUAAUUCUGAUUAUAGAAUAUGACGUAUUGAACAGAAGUAAAUCUUUAAGGCUGAGAGGGAUAGUGUCUGGAGCAUAGCGUUUAGGUCAAGAGAGUUUCAUUAUAGACAAAAGGAGAAGAGAUGUACUGAACAUAAAAUGGAAAGACCCAGGGAGUUUCUAGAGAAUUUACUCUCUCCAGAUAAUUUUCAGAGGUGUGAAAAACACUCUCCCUUUUUUCUUUUGAUUUUUCCUAUCCUUUGGACUUGGAAGGUGGACUGAGCCACAGGCUACCUCUUGCCUCCUCUGAGGAGGCAUUACCUACAUUACGCUUGUAGGUAAAUGUAAGAAAUCCUCUGGGUAGGAAUGGGGAAAAUCUUAUUUUGUUGGCAUCAGGCCUCCAAAUGGAGGCAAAUAAAAGGAGUACUUAUUUCCUUUUUUUAUUAAAAAAAUUUAAAAACAUUUAUUUAUUUUUGAGAGACAGAGACAGAGCAUGAGUGGGGGAGGGGCAGAGAGAGAGGGAGACACAGAAUCUGAAGCAGGCUCCAGGCUCUGAGCUGUCAGCACAGAGCCUGACACGGGCCUUGGGCCCAUGAACCACAAGAUCAUGACCUGAGCUGAAGUUGGACUUCAGCUAACUUCAGCUAAUGGGCUGAGCUAUCCAGGCACUCAAAGAAAUACUUGUUUCCUAAUGGAAGCCGGGUACCAAGGUUUUGGAUAAGAAAAGACUAGUGUAAGUCAGGGUUGAGGGGAGAAUUUGCCUUCCAGGGAUGGGUGGUGAUUCACAUGGCCAGGCCAAGCUGCAGUCAUGUGCUGGUGCUGGAGAGAACAUCAUCCUUAAGGGAAAAGGAAACCAAAGAAAUUUGAAGUAAUUAAGACAAUGUGGAGAGUGGGACCUCUAGCAAGCAAGAGUUGAGGUGUAGUCUGUGGUUGUGGAGAUGAGCAUUAAAAAAUAAUAAUAAUAACAAACAAACCAUGCUUGAAUUUGUAUCUUUGAUGAGAAUAUUUUGCACAUUGAGCCUUGAUCUCUUCUUAAAAAAGAAAAUGCAAUAAUAGGAGAGCACCUCUCUGCAGAGCACAAUGAGAUCAGCAACCUAGACUCCUGCCUUGUCUCUCUUUAUUUUUGAGCAGGAAAUGGCCAGCCUUAUGGUGACCUGGGCUCCAUGUUGCUGCUUGUCCAGCUGGACCUGCUCCUGGCUCCCUCUCCUCAGACCAGAGGGUAACCACAAAUAGUUUGAGAACACAGGGAUUUUCCUGAAGGACUGGCACCAGGACCAGAACCCUAGAGAUUCAAAUCUCUUACCAGUGCUCUCCUGUCAAGAGCUGCCUCCUUAGUUCCAGACCCUUGAGCUGGUGGCAGAAGCCUUCUUUCAGCAGGCUAUUCACUUGAACUUCAAAGGUCUUUAAUUCCCUGUUAUCUCAGAAGAUUAGUAUUGUGGGAACAGAAGGUUCCACCAGGUCCUCUAUGGAGAGAGAAAAGGAUUAG